rfam:Nematostella vectensis strain CH2 x CH6 NEMVEscaffold_1909_Cont39344, whole genome shotgun sequence.
GCGUUGGUGGUAUAGUGGUUAGCAUAGAUGCCUUCCAAGCAGUUGACCCGGGUUUGAUUCCCGGCUAAAGCA